GAUGAACGCUGGCGGCGUGCUUAACACAUGCAAGUCGAACGGUGAACACGGAGCUUGCUCUGUGGGAUCAGUGGCGAACGGGUGAGUAACACGUGAGCAACCUGCCCCUGACUCUGGGAUAAGCGCUGGAAACGGCGUCUAAUACUGGAUAUGUGACGUGACCGCAUGGUCUGCGUUUGGAAAGAUUUUUCGGUUGGGGAUGGGCUCGCGGCCUAUCAGCUUGUUGGUGAGGUAAUGGCUCACCACGGCGUCGACGGGUAGCCGGCCUGAGAGGGUGACCGGCCACACUGGGACUGAGACACGGCCCAGACUCCUACGGGAGGCAGCAGUGGGGAAUAUUGCACAAUGGGCGCAAGCCUGAUGCAGCAACGCCGCGUGAGGGAUGACGGCCUUCGGGUUGUAAACCUCUUUUAGCAGGGAAGAAGCGAAAGUGACGGUACCUGCAGAAAAAGCGCCGGCUAACUACGUG
rnacentral:rRNA from 1 species